rnacentral:rRNA from 1 species
CAGUAGCCGCGGUAAUACAGAGGGUGCAAGCGUUAAUCGGAAUUACUGGGCGUAAAGCGCGCGUAGGUGGUUCGUUAAGUUGGAUGUGAAAUCCCCGGGCUCAACCUGGGAACUGCAUCCAAAACUGGCGUGCUAGAGUAGGGCAGAGGGUGGUGGAAUUUCCUGUGUAGCGGUGAAAUGCGUAGAUAUAGGAAGGAACACCAGUGGCGAAGGCGACCACCUGGGCUCAUACUGACACUGAGGUGCGAAAGCGUGGGGAGCAAACAGGAUUAGAUACCCGAGUAGUCCCUGUCUCUUAUAC